GGGCUUGUAGUUCAAUGGAUAGAACAUAAGACUUCUAAUCUUAUGAUUCCAGUUCGAAUCUGGGCAGGCUCA
rnacentral:tRNA from 1 species